UUUGAUACCAAUGUCUUCACUCGACAUGCAACAAAAGGUAAUAAAAAAACUAAAACUAAUUUAGCGACUAGACAUAAUGUAGAUGUCUUGUUCAAGUGUAUACAUUGAUCCUAUGGCUCAUGUUGUAAUACAAUCGUGGGAUAUUAUCUGAAACAAAACAAAUGAACAGAGCUAAAUGUUGUAUGAAGUGGAGUGUAUAUUGUAGCGGACGCCAGUAUUGUUAUGUAAAAUGCAGUUCCCAUAAUUGAUCAACUGUCGGGCCCUUCCAAGAGAAUAUACACAGACAAAAUAAUAUAACAUGGGAACCGUUAUUUAUGUUAAUAUAUAAUAUUUGACAUAUUAGAUGUUAAUAAAACUUGGCUACUUUCAGUUUAAUAUAACGCCGGCUCAUUGAUGAAACCGACAUGACGGUUUUGCAUUGAGAUGUUAGCUAGAGCAGUUUAAACAAGCAGUUUAGUCAUUUCUAUACAAUGUGUUCACAGUGUUCAUUAUAUAUUGUGGCUUGUGGGAUUUUUAGUAACGAUAUGUGAACACAAUGCUGUAUAACAAUGAGCAAAAAACUGAACAAAAAGUAAUAAUGUUGUCGGUAGUAAACACUUUACUCAUGUUUGUGUAACAUGUUAUCACAUUUAUAUUUUCAACCAAUAACACUACAAUGUAGUCUCAAAGUCAGUCGACUUCAAGACUAUUGCUUACUUUUACUAAAUAUAUAGCAUUAUUAUAUACAUUGCAAUUUGUUCCGAGUAACAAAAUACUAAAAUUUCGGUUGUAUCGCAUUCUUGGAAAAUUAUUAAAAAAAGAUCGAGAAGUUUCCAAUUAAGCUUUGUGCCGUUAUUUUCAGCAAUUCGUCGGUUUGGAAAUUAUUUUAUUCGAAAAUUAGCCAGCAAUACAGAAUGGUGGACGGCUCCCCCUCCCCUAGCAAAUUAAAAUAUUUGUCAUUGUGUGCGAUGCAUGAAUUUGAUUUGAUCACGUUUUCAGGUUUUCACUUUGAUCUAUGCCGAAAGUACCGACUGGCAUUCAUUUAAUGCGCUGUAGCGGCGUACAUCACAAGUGGAGAGAUCAUUGCGCUGCAGACAACUGUACAAGGCACUCCGCAAACAGCGAGUGAGCUGAGUCAAGUCAAACUUCAUAUUUAUUUUUGUGAUUGGAAGAAGGAAGGAUUAUACUAGUUUAGAGAUCAUAUAUUCUCUAAGACAACUUUGAAUACUUGUCAAAUAACUGACUAACUUGGUGCCAGAAACCAGGUAAACUGCAAAACUUAUUUUUUAAGUUUGGUUUGUUAUUAUGUCUAUGUAAUUGUGCUUUGAAGAAACACAGUAUGUAUGAUAACGUAAUCGCUGGGUUCACCGUGUUUAAAUGUCGCCAUUGACGGAUCUCCCGUACAUUAUAAAGUAUCAGUGGGUUUGGCCCUAGGCUUUGGAUAACCCUCAGAGCGGCUCAAUGGCACCUAAAGUCUCACAUUUACUGCUGCUAAAUUAUUUUCCAAAGUCAUUUCUCCUAAUCUCCAAGUUAUUCAAAGGAUAAAAGACCCCAGCGUCUGGCGUUAGCGUAAAUCCUCUUUUGUGUAAAUGCAUGCACGUUGAAGUUGAAGUCAAGUUGAAUCAAUUUCCUGAUAUUAGACUUCUUUUUGCCAUAGUAUUAAUGAUUUUUUCAGAAGGAGUAGUAAAUUGAUGAAGGUAGCAACAUAAGCAACUAAGCUUAUGACGCCAGUUCAAAUUAUGCUUGAGUAAACUUAUCACAAUUUUUGCAGUCUCUUAAAUAUUCAGAAUAUUUUAGUAAAAUAAAACACGCAAUUUAACCCCACCACAAGAUAAAUUUAAACGGCUCGCGUUAAUAAAGUCUUACAACGGUAACCUGACUGCAAGCGGGAUCUGCCCUUCUUCAGCUUCUUCCGAUAUAUUAACGAUUCUAGUGUCUAGCCAUAUGCUUUAUCAUUUGACGUGCUAUCGCAUCAAGGAAGAUUUCAGAAAAUUCCUCGUGACAAUAAGAAUUUGUUAAAUGUAAAACAACAAUUUGAUAUGUAAAAUAAACUGAUAAAGUCCGAAACCAUCACGUCGCCAUCAAAAAGGCAGAAAACUUUCGCUAAUACGAAGAUAAUACAAAGGUGGGAGUAAAACGCUGCAUGUUGCUAGAACAUUUGGGAUCAAAUCAGUUGAGUGUUUCUUUUCACGAUUUUUAGUUCGAGCUUUUAGCUGUGCCAAGAGCAAAACUAAAUAAUUUUCGGCCGGUCAUAUACAGGUAGAUCAUCAACGAAAAAUAAUCUUUGCGGAAACAAACUUGUUUCUGAUGAAUGUUGGCAUAUAUACCAAUAAUGCAAUACUCAAUAGGAUAAAAAUAUUUUAUUUUACGCUCAUCAUAGCUUUUUAUGGCUAUAGUUCAUAGGCAAUCAUGCAUAUCAUUGCUUUAUGCAAUUUAUAAAACUCGUUUCCAUAUAAAAGUAUUUUCAUUAUUAAAACAACGUUGGUUGUUGUAGGUUUGAAAUCUAAAGAAAAGAGAUGUCUUCAAAAUCUGAAAAUCAUAUCAAACGUCCGAUGAAUGCUUUCAUGGUUUGGUCCCGGGCCGAGAGGAAGAAGAUGGCGGAGGAGAAUCCAAAGAUGCAUAACUCGGAAAUCUCCAAACAACUUGGGGAAUUAUGGAAGGAACUGACAGAAGAAGACAAACGACCACAUAUUGAAGAGGCUAGACGACUCAGAGCACUGCAUAUGAAAGAACACCCUGAUUACAAAUACAGACCGCGACGAAAACCAAAAUCGUUAUUGAAGAAAGACCGUUAUGCUUUUCCAUUACCGUUUCAACCUAUCCUUGACCCUUUAACCAAAUAUCCAACGUUAAGUCUUCCUUCUGCAAGAUCAUUUAUGUCACCUGAGUACACUCAAACAGUGAAAGCAAGGUCAUUCAUGGCAACAACAUCAGCUAACAGUAGACUUGAAUCUAGCUAUGCUCAUUAUGCUGCAGCUUAUGAUACGAAUACAACAAGACCAGAACUUUUGCCUACAACUCCUUAUUAUUCACCCUACCCUGGCAUCGCAUCACAAACAAGGCUGAAUCAUUCAGCGCUUAUUCCAACAUCGCCAAUGAAUUCCACAGCACCACAUACACACACUCAUACCCAUAGUGGUGGACCUAAUUCCCCGGCAGGACAGUACGCGGUGCCUUGUAACUGUUCAUGGCCUAACGCCGAUAUGCGAGGCAGACCUGUAGCUUAUGUUUUACUCUAAAAUAUCAUUUGACAGAGAGGGUAGACUCCAAUUAAGAGUAAACGGAGAUUGUAAAUAUAUAGUCUUAUAGACCACAUUUGUAUAUAUAUACUCCUGUGGAUAUCAUUCGAGGAAAUGUUCCUUCAGUGGAAUAAAUUGUAUAAAAUAUACGUCCUAUAUAUAGCACAGCUGCUUUACACAAGCCAGAUUGCAAAUUUGUUAAACAUAAUUUGAAACCAAAAAAAAUACUGAAAUUUGUGCAAUUCUUAC
rnacentral:lncRNA from 1 species